GCAGCAAGUAGCAUUAUCACCUUUGUUAUGGAUGGUUAAGCCAGAAAAUCGAAAGAUAUUCUAAAUGCAUUGAAAUUAAUGUUUCAUUUCUGCAGUGGCCCCGCUUAUUUCUUCUUGGUGGGAAAAUGAUGAACACAAAAAGAAGAUUCAAGACUUGGAGGUUAAAAACAUGAAAGCCAAGCUGGAUGUCUUGGAAGAGCUGCUAGUGGAAAGGCAACAUCUGUUCUGCAGCUACAUUAAACCGAAAUCUUGGCGCCUGUCGGUGGAGAAGGACAUCAGGAAGAAUGCCAACAAAAGACAAAAUGGAAAGCUGAUGUGGAAGAUGCUGGAAGGCUGGAGAGAGGCAGUGAAUGUUAAUAACAAAGACGAAGAGAUUAAAAAAAGUCACUAAGGACAAAUAAACUUUCCGGUCCAAUUUUAAGCUCUAAUUAAAGUUGCUUAUGAACAACAAGGUUGCUCAGCAGGUGUCUCUUUUGUCUAGUUGGUAGGACGUCAACAGCCGCUGUUUACAACAAGUGUCACCAGUCCUACUACAUUGGUGCUGUGUCAUACGAAGGGCUGCCAGUACUCAUCUUUCAACUGGA